GAUGAACGCUGGCGGCGUGCCUAAUACAUGCAAGUCGAGCGAACGGACGAGAAGCUUUCUUCUCUGAUGUUAGCGGCGGACGGGCGAGUAACACGUGGAUAACCUACUUAUAAGACUUGGAUAACUUCGUGAAACCGGAGCUACUACCGGCUAAUAUUUUCAACCGCAUGGUUCAAAAGUGAAAGACGGUCUUGCUGUCACUUAUAGAUGGAUCCGCGCUGCAUUAGCUAGUUGGUAAGGUAACGGCUUACCAAGGCAACGAUGCAUAGCCGACCUGAGAGGGUGAUCAGCCACACUGGAACUGAGACACGGUCCAGACUCCUACGGGAGGCAGCAGUAGGGAAUAUUCCGCAAUGGGCGAAAGCCUGACGGAGCAAAGCCGCGUGAGUGAUGAAGGUCUUCGGAUCGUAAAACUCUGUUAUUAGGGAAGAACAUAUGUGUAAGUAACUGUGCACAUCUUGACGGUACCUAAUCAGAAAGCCACGGCUAACUACGUG
rnacentral:rRNA from 1 species